AACCAACCCCGCACCACCCGAGAACCCUUACACGAUACUGAGUAAUUCUAUACUCCCAUAUAGAAGAUUUUAUGUUAAAACUAGUAACAAGAAGAAGAACUUCUCUUACAAUGCAAGUGUAAAUCAGACAGGACACCCCACCGACAAUUAACACCAAUGAACAAAAAGUAGUAACUUAACAAGAAAACCCUACUACACCGUAUGUUAACCUAACACCAGAGCAUUACAAGAAAGAUUCAAAGAAAGAGAAGGAACUCGGCAAAUAUUAACCUCGCCUGUUUACCAAAAACAUCGCCUCUUGAAAACAUAAGAGGUCCAGCCUGCCCAGUGACUCUGUUCAACGGCCGCGGUAUCCUAACCGUGCGAAGGUAGCGUAAUCACUUGUUCUUUAAAUGAGGACUAGUAUGAACGGCACCACGAAGGUUAUACUGUCUCCUCUUUCCAAUCAGUAAAACUAAUCUCCCCGUGAAGAAGCGAGGAUGAACAUAUAAGACGAGAAGACCCUAUGGAGCUUCAAACUACACAACACCUGUUUUAACACAAUUAAAUUUCAGAAAAACCCCCUUCACCCCAGCAGGAUGAUUGACAGUUUUAGGUUGGGGUGACCGCGGAGCACAAGACAACCUCCUCAUUGAAAGGAACCCACUCCUUAGCCAAGAGCUACGCCUCCACGCACCAAUAAAAUGACAUUAAUUGACCCAAUAUAUUGAUCAACGAACCAAGUUACCCUAGGGAUAACAGCGCAAUCCACUUUAAGAGCCCCUAUCGACAAGUGGGUUUACGACCUCGAUGUUGGAUCAGGGUAUCCCGGUGGUGCAGCCGCUACCAAAGGUUCGUUUGUU
rnacentral:rRNA from 1 species